rnacentral:rRNA from 1 species
CCUACGGGUGGCAGCAGUGGGGAAUAUUGCUCAAUGAGCGAGAGCCUGAACCAGCGACGCAGCGUGAAGGAUGACUGCCCUACGGGUUGUAAACUUCUUUUAUAAAGGAAUACAGUGACGCAAGUGUGCCUUUUUGUAUGUACUUUAUGAAUACGGAUCGGCUAACUCCGCGCCAGCCGCCGCGGGAAUACGGAGGAUCCGACCGUUAUCCGGAUAUGUUGGGUUUAAAGGGAGCGUAGAGGGGUUGUUAAGUCAGUUGUGAAAGUUUGCGGCUUAACCGUAGAAUUGCAAUUGAUACUGGCAGACUUGAGUACAGUAGAGGUAAGCGGAAUUCGAUGUGUAGCGGUGAAAUGCUUAGAUAUCACGAAGAACUCCAAUGGCGAAGGCAGCUUACUAAACUGCCACUGACACUGAUGGUCGAAAGUGUGGGUAUCAAACAGGAUUAGAUACCCCGGUAGUC